rnacentral:rRNA from 1 species
AGAACGAACGCUGGCGGCAGGCUUAACACAUGCAAGUCGAACGGUUGUAGCAAUACAGCAGUGGCGCACGGGUGAGUAACGCGUGGGAACAUACCUUAGAGUUCGGAAUAACAGCGGGAAACUGCUGCUAAUACCGGAUAUUCUCCUCGGAGGAAAGAUUUAUCGCUCUAAGAUUGGCCCGCGUCAGAUUAGCUAGUUGGUGAGGUAAUGGCUCACCAAGGCUCCGAUCUGUAGCUGGUCUGAGAGGACGACCAGCCCACACUGGAACUGAGACACGGUCCAGACUCCUACGGGAGGCAGCAGUGGGGAAUAUUGGACAAUGGGCGAAAGCCUGAUCCAGCCAUGCCGCGUGAAUGAUGAAGGCCUUAGGGUUGUAAAGUUCUUUUGCCAGGGAAGAUAAUGACGGUACCUGGAGAAUAAGCACCGGCUAACUUCGUGCCAGCAGCCGC